GUUUCUAACGUACCCCCAGGCGAGGGAUAGCUCGAGGAAACUCGGGGUAAUACCUCAUAAUCUCACAUGAUCGUAUGUUCGUGUGAGCAAAGGCUUGCCACCAGGGGAUCGGGAAACGUGGUAUCAGGUAGUUGGUGGGGUAAAAGCCUACCAAGCCUAAGACGCCUAGCGGGUGUGAGAGCAUGACCCGCCGCAUCGGAACUGAGACACUGUCCGGACUCCUACGGGAGGCUGCAGUAACGAAUCUUCCGCAAUGAGCGCAAGCUUGACGGAGCAAUGCCGCGUGUAGGAUGAAGCCUUUCGGGGUGUAAACUACUGUCAGGAACUAGGAAACAAAUGACCAAUUCCAAAGGAAGGGCCGGCUAACUUCGUGCCAGCAGCCGCGGUAAUACGAAGGGCCCGAGCGUUGAUCGGAUUUACUGGGCUUAAAGAGUGCGUAGGCGGAUGUGUAAGUAUCCUGUGAAAUCCCACUGCUCAACGGUGGAACUGCGGGGUAAACUACAUAUCUUGAGGUCGGUAGGGGCUGUCGGAACAAUAGGUGUAGCGGUGAAAUGCGUAGAUAUCUAUUGGAACGCCAAUGGCGAAGGCAGACAGCUGGGCCGAAUCUGACGCUGAGGCACGAAAGCGUGGGGAGCAAACAGGAUUAGAUACCCUGGUAGUCCACGCCGUAAACGAUGUGCACUAGAUUCUGGAGCCUCUGACGGUAUCGGGAUCGUAGAGAAAUUGAUAAGUGCACCGCCUGGGGAGUACGGCCGCAAGGCUAAAACUCAAAGGAAUUGACGGGGGCUCACACAAGCGGUGGAGCAUGUGG
rnacentral:rRNA from 1 species